UUCACCCUUCUCCAUCAUCUUUCUCAAAUUUCUUUCACCCUUCUCAAUCUCAUCACUUUCUUCCCUCUCUUCUUCGACAGCUGCCGCCACCACCACCAGCAUACAUCAGAUUCUUCCAUCCCUGUUGUCGUCGUCAGUUUCUUCCAUCCCUUUUUGAAUAUUGCUCACAAACCAAGAGAUUUGGGACCGAUCUUGCACAAAAACCUGUCGGAACAUCGCUACCUUGUCGGAACAUCGCUACCUUGUCGUAAGAUUAGGGCAGUUUGCAGUUUGAAGGUAGUCUCUUCUUUUAUAUCAGUUUGCAGAAA